AAUUUUCUGAGUAAUCUCCUCCUAACCAAAAAAAAAAAGGUUGAAAUUGACUGUGCAAUUCCCUUUCAAGUGAUCUAGCAGCAGGGCAGGUCCAAGAAUGGCUGAGUGACUACAGCAAUCAGUUCUUUAAAACCCCUGCGGGAUUCUCAGCUUGUGCCUGUGGCUCUCUACAAAAACUCAGAGUGCCAGGAGGACAUGCCUGGCAGGCUCAUUGAGUCCUCAGAUUACCCUCCAGGAGAGCCAUCUAGAGCCUUGGAUUAAAUUAACAUUUUUGUAACAAGUUUGUAAAGUGAUCCUGCCCUUGGCAUCAAACAAACAAAUGCUUCUCUGGUCUGAGGCUUCUUGUGCCUGCACUUGAGAAACACUUGACAAGUGUCUACAUGUUCUAGAAAGGGAAUUUUUUUCAGAGUUGGCCACUUCUUCGAAAUAGUCAGAUCUUGUCAAGCCUCUGAAGCAAGGGGGGAAGGAGAGAAAAAGUUGAAACACAAGGUUCAUCUGAAAGGAGAAGAAUCUUAACCAGUUCAGAAAUAAAUGUAGGAAACAGAUGAUAAAACAAAUGAUGACAGUAAAAAAAAAUCGGGGGAAACUAAAAGGAUCAAUCUCUGGAGUCCAGAGACAAAAGCUCUUUUUGUGUAGUGAUACAAAAUUGGAAAUUGAGGAGAUGCUCGUCAAUUGAAGAAUAGCUGGACAGACUGGUACAAGUUGGUGAUAAAAUACCAUUGUGCUCUAAGAAAUGACAAAUAAGCAAGAUGAUUUCAGAAAAAGCUGGAAAGAUCUACAGGAGUUGAUGCAGAGUGAAGUAAGCAGAACAGUGAAACAUUAUACACAUGAUCAACUGUGAAAACUUGGCUACUCAGUGUUGUAAUGAUCUGAGACAAUCCUAAAAGACUUAUGAUGGGGAAUGCUACCCACCUCCGGAGAAAGAACUUUUGGAGUCUGAUGGAUAUGGAUCAAAGCAUAUCUUUCACAUCAGUGUAUUUAUGGUUUUAUUUUGGGGUUUGAGGGCCAGCUGCUCAGCCUCAUCCAGGCGGUGUUGCAAGUCUUUCACAGUCUGUUCCAGAUUCUUCUUCAUUCGCUCCAGGAAGCCUGAUAACUUUCUGGGUCCAUCCUAAUCAGCAGCCAUUUAAACACCUACUGAGUGCCAGUCACUGUGCUAUUCAAAGUUUCAGAGUUCUGAGCUAUAGUAUGCAAAGCCAACUAGCAUUUCUUGCAUCCCUACUGGCAUCCUCAACCUCACUUUGGAGUUGUGAAACAUCUGCUUCAAGCUUCUUCUUUGUAUGAAUGAGGCUGGUAUUCUAAAAUAAAGAAAAAGAAUAAAGUUAGCCUUGUGUCUAUGG